CUGUUCAAUGGAAGAACAUGGCAGGUAUUCCAUCACAGCCAAACGACAAACAGUGCGGCUAUUUUGUGAUGAGAUAUAUGAGGGAUAUCAUCCAUGAUACAAACUUGUCAUUUGCAGAUAAGUGGGCUAGGAGAGCCAACCAUGUUUAUGGUCAAGUGGAAAUUGAUGAAGUGCGUAAUGAGCUCACAAGUUAUGUGUUGAAGAACAUCCUCAAGCUGUAAAGUAUGCAGUUGCUCAUGCCCUAGAAGCUCUGAAGUGAAAUAGGCUAGAAAUGUGUUUUUGUGCUCCAA